rnacentral:tRNA from 1 species
UGGCUCAAUUGUAGAGCAUGUGACUCUUGAUCACGGGGUUGUGAGUUUGAACCCCAC